GAUGAACGCUGGCGGCGUGCCUAAUACAUGCAAGUCGAGCGAACGGACGAGAAGCUUGCUCCUCUGAUGUUAGCGGCGGACGGGUGAGUAACACGUGGAUAACCUACCUAUAAGACUGGGAUAACUUCGGGAAACCGGAGCUAAUACCGGAUAAUAUUUUGAACCGCAUGGUUCAAAAGUGAAAGACGGUCUUGCUGUCACUUAUAGAUGGAUCCGCGCUGCAUUAGCUAGUUGGUAAGGUAACGGCUUACCAAGGCAACGAUGCAUAGCCGACCUGAGAGGGUGAUCGGCCACACUGGAACUGAGACACGGUCCAGACUCCUACGGGAGGCAGCAGUGGGGAAUCUUCCGCAAUGGGCGAAAGCCUGACGGAGCAACGCCGCGUGAGUGAUGAAGGUCUUCGGAUCGUAAAACUCUGUUAUUAGGAAAGAACAUAUGUGUAUGUAACUGUGCACAUCUUGACGGUACCGAAUCAGAAAGCCACGGCUAACUACGUG
rnacentral:rRNA from 1 species